AUAUGGAGGUGGAGGCGGAAAAGCCGAAAACAGUUGUACUCCUUCGUUUGGUUCCAUUCUCUUUUAGUUAAAUAGUAUUUAUCGUAAACUAGAUUUUAGAUUGAUGUAACUGUCUUCCCUUUUAUCGCUGAUUCUUAGUAUAAAAAUGCCUGCUCUUUUUUUUUCUUUUUUUUUUUAGAAAAGCAGUUUCUAUAAUGUUAAGAAAACCGUAAUUGAACAACGAUAUGACGCUCAAUAACUGAUUGACAUGAAAAUCCUGAAUAUAAAAACACUUGAAAAUAACCGAUCUUUUGCUCAAAAUGGAUUUUGGAAUAGUCAGUAAAAGUGGGUAGUUUUAUCUGGCAUAUGGAAUAC